rnacentral:rRNA from 1 species
ACGUAGGUGGCAAGCGUUAUCCGGAAUUAUUGGGCGUAAAGCGCGCGCAGGUGGUUUCUUAAGUCUGAUGUGAAAGCCCACGGCUCAACCGUGGAGGGUCAUUGGAAACUGGGAGACUUGAGUGCAGAAGAGGAAAGUGGAAUUCCAUGUGUAGCGGUGAAAUGCGUAGAGAUAUGGAGGAACACCAGUGGCGAAGGCGACUUUCUGGUCUGUAACUGACACUGAGGCGCGAAAGCGUGGGGAGCAAACAGGA